AAUAAGUAUAGCCGUGGAUAUCCGUGUCUAACGUUUGACCGUCCGUCUUAUUUAAAAAAUUUGUAAAAAAUUUAAAAAUAUUUAGUCACACAUAAAAUACUAUUUAUGUUUUAUCAUCUAAUAGCAAUAAAAAUACUAAUCAUAAAAAAUUUCAAAUAAAAUGAAUGGUCAAACGUUGAACGUGAAUAGCGCAAAACUGCACUUAUU
rnacentral:pre_miRNA from 1 species